rnacentral:rRNA from 1 species
UACGUAGGGUGCAAGCGUUAAUCGGAAUUAUUGGGCGUAAAGAGCUCGUAGGCGGUGUGUCACGUCGGCCGUGAAAACCUGCAGCUUAACUGUGGGCGUGCGGUCGAUACGGGCAUCACUGGAGUUCGGCAGGGGAGACUGGAAUUCCUGGUGUAGCGGUGAAAUUCGUAGAUAUCAAGCGGAACACCGGUGGCGAAGGCGGCCUUCUGGACAGUGACUGACGCUGAGACGCGAAAGCGUGGGGAG